CCGGCGCACGGGUGAGUAACACGUAUCCACCUGCCGUCUACUCUUGGACAGCCUUCCGAAAGGAAGAUUAAUACAAGAUGGCAUCAUGAGUUCACAUGUUCACAUGAUUAAAGGUAUUCCGGUAGACGAUGGGGAUGCGUUCCAUUAGAUAGUAGGCGGGGUAACGGCCCACCUAGUCUUCGAUGGAUAGGGGUUCUGAGAGGAAGGUCCCCCACAUUGGAACUGAGACACGGUCCAA
rnacentral:rRNA from 1 species